rnacentral:lncRNA from 1 species
CUUUUCUAGGGCUGUACCCGAGGCAUAUGGAAGCUCCCUGGCUAGGGGUCUAAUCAGAACUGUAGCUGCCAGCCGACACCACAACCACAGCAACACCAGAUCUGAGCCACAUUUGCGACCUACACCACAGCUCACAGCAACACCAGAUCCUUAACCCACUGAGCAAGGUCAGGGAUCGAACCCGCAACCUCAUGGUUCCUAGUUGGAUUCGGUAACCACUGAGCCACGAUGGGAACUCCUGGGGAUGGGAAUGUUAAGGCCUGAAUUCAAACCUCAGUUUGCAAGUUUCAAAACCAUGGAUAAAUCACUCAUCUCUCUGAGUUAAAACUAGUCUAUCUGUAGAGCAGAGAAAAUAAUGGCUUUGCCCAUAUCAUUGAGAUAUCAUAAAGAUCAAGUAAUCUAGGGUUUGUGAAAAUGUUGCAGAAACUAUAAAAUGACCUAUUAAUAUAAAAGAUCCAUUUUAUGAAAAUGCUUCAGAAACCAUAAAAUGAAAUAUUAAUAUAAAGUAUUUGUUUUGCUAUUAAACCUUAAAAUUUUAUUCCGAUUUUAUAAUCAUAUCUAGGUUUAUUUACCAUAAUCUACUUGCUCAUUGUAAACUCACUUCAAGAUUCAGACAGGGAGUGAUAUAGUAUAAAGGGAAGAACUCAAGGCUAGAAUUAGCUGAACUUGAAUCCCAGUUACAGAACCUAUUGGCCAAGAUCCCCUGGCCAUGUUGCUUCUCUGAAUCUGUUAAUUCAUCCAUAAAGCAUACACAGUAAUACCCAGCUAUGUUAAUGGAUAUCAUGUAGACAAAGCAUGCGGUUCAGGUUCUCACCACUGAGAAUCACUUCCAUUACUACAAAGUUAUAGGAGUCUUUGUUCUCCUCACUAACCGUACUUACUAAUGGCCAUAUGGCUAAAGAACUGUAUCAUAUUCUGCUAGUUUUGUGGCCUCUUUAUUUUGCUUUUCUCAUCCCCUUCCCAAAGCAAAGGAUUUGCAAUUACCAUAGUUAUUAUGAAAUUUUAUUGGAUGAGUGACUAACAAGUUAGUGUUACAGGUUGUGUGUGUGUGUGUGUGUGUGUGUGUGUGUGUGAGUGUGUGCGCGCGCGCUAGAGCAAGGAGAGGGUCACACAAGGCUGAAGCCAUGUUCUUGUCAAGGUGACGCUUAGCAAGGUUACAGCCUUACUUUUGUAUCUUUGUAUUUUAUAUUUUCUUUUUCUUGAAGUGAGUGUUUUGAAAACAUUGUCCCACCUGGAGAAAUCUGGAAACUGGUAAAAUGAAGGCCUGUCUGAGAAACAAAACACUGCUGCAAAGAAUCUGAUUUAGUAUCAUGACUUUGGUUCAUUUUUAAUAUAGAAUUUCAUGGCUCAUCAAGGGGUAAGCCAGUCUAUCAAAAGAAGUUGUCUUUUUUGUUCAUUUUAGAAAUGUCCCUGCUGUUACUGUGUGGCGUGUGCUUUUGAAAACUCAACACAGUUUAAACAGAAGAGGGCUGAGGCUUUGUUCUCUCUCCCCUCUUCCCGUCUAAGUUCAUUGUCUUUGCCCUACAAGUUCUUCUCACAGUUUUACCAAUUCCUUCCUGCCCAUAUGAACAAAUGUCAUAGCUUAGCAACAAUCAUCAUUUCAUAUUACAUUUAUAGUUCAGCUAAUAUGAUGGAAUGAUCUACAUGCCAGAAUCUCUUAAUUUCUUUUCCUUUCCUUUACACAGCUGCAGACUGGAACCAAAUGCUCAGUCAGAUAUCUUUCUUAUAUAACUAAUGGGAGGUGAGUGUUUUCCUGUUUCUGUUUUCUCUCUCACCCAUAUUUUCUGUCUCCCUCUGUAUUUAUAGAACCAGCUUUAAUUAUAAUUUAGCAGUGUGCUGAGGGCACAUCAGUGAGUCUCCAGAUGGUGCAAAGCAACCUGUGAGAGUACAUUGCUUUUCACAUUUGAUCUUGGAAUAGCCAAUAUGUUCCUGGCAAGCACUGACUAAGCAGUUGACCUGUCUAUUUGCCGUUAGUUUCCAUUUACUUGCUUUCUGGUAAUGAAUACUAAUAUUCCAUGAUAUGAUGGGUCCCCUAAUGUAUCUCCCUAUUUUUCCCUUUUAGAUUUUCCUUUAUGCUUCAUCCGUGGAUCAGUAGGAGGGAAUCCUUUAAUUUAAUACAUAUAUAUUAAAUUAUACAUUUAUUUCAUUAUUUUAAACGAGCUUUUCCUUCCAGCGUAUCACAGCUUCUGAAAUGAAGGUCUUAAACUUAAUGUCAAAGAGUGCUGGAUAUUUUUUUCUAAAAGCAUUUUUGAGAAUGUGAAAAGUAUAUCUAUAAAUAAAUGAAGAGAAAAGAAAGACGAGGAAGAGAAAGCUAUUAUGUUUUACAUGUUCUUCCAUUUCCUCUGAACAAACUCGCUGCCAGAAUGUUUAAAAUAGUUAUGUAACACCAAUUUGGUUACAACAACCAAGUACUCAUACCAUCAGUAUAGAUUCUGUAUUUCUUUAAUUCCAAAAUAAUGCAAAGCAAGUGCUCCAGAAUGAUCCUAAGAAUUGUAAAUAAGCCAGUGAUGGCAAAGCAUUUGUUAGAAAUGGUAAUUUGUGUGCAUACAUACAGAACACAUAUAUUAUAUGUAUACAUUGUAGGGAGCAGUACAUGAUAGAGGAUUCUCAUAGCAUUGUUUUUUCUGGUCUAAA